GGAAACAGUAUAAAUCCUUGUUGGUUAUACCUUGGAUUAUGCAGUGGAGUUGAAUUGUGGCAAACUGGCAAUGUUUACUACUGCUGAAUAAUUUCAAGUGAAAUUGUUUGCCACUUUUUGAUUGAUUUAUGUGAUGAUGUAGGAGCAAGCAAAGAGUUUAGAAUUCAAAGGCUUCACCAGCAGACUCAUAUACUCAGUCUGGUUUCCCCAAAUGUGCUUUGUUAGAUGAAAUGGUUUUGCUAUUGAAUCAGUUUAUGGAAAUCAAAGUUUGUUGCUAAGUGGGCUGAUUACCGAUUACAAACCAAAAAUUGAAGAUGCAACACAAUCUUGUCAUGGCCAUCGCAUUUCGGUUAGCGUGAGGUUCAAUCUUGCAGCUCUGGAUUUAGGAGUUCUUCAUGUCUAAAAAAGCUACAUUGCAAUGUAAGAGUAGGUUCAGGUGCACUCCUUGCGGGAUGUAGUGUUUUUGGAAAAUGCUGAUACAGGGACACAUGUUUGAGGGGUCGUACCGUACGAAUGUCCUGUAGGUGUCGGACACCUGCGACAUGUCGAAUCCCAGAAUCAUAGGCUGCUUCCAAUUUUAGGAUGAAAAUCAAGCUGAGGGAUUAAUGAAGCUACCAGGUUAUAGUAGGUAAGAAGUCACAUUCUCAAUAUGAGCUAUUAUAUUAUUUACUUGAUAUACAUACAAACAUGAAGAAGGUUGUGGAGCAUUGUACCUUGAAAAAUAAUAAUGGCCCAAAAUUUUAGUCCAAAAUACAGAUGAAUGGAGAGGCUACUUACUUUUAAGCCCCACAUUUUAAAAACAUCACAUGUGUUUUCUGGAGUGUUGUUAGAGACGACAUAAUAUAUUCGAAAAUGUACUUUCGAAAAACACAAAAUUUAUGUUUUUUAUUUUUAAAUAUGUACAUCCGAAGUAAUGUUGGAGGGUGGGGAAAGUUCCUCCCUUAAAUGGAUCAGUAUCUUUAGAUUAAGAAAAUUAACAAAUGAAUGAAUGAAUAUAACAAUUAUGCAGAA